GGUUAUAGCUUAGUGGUAGAGCACUUACCUAGUAUGUGCAAGACUUCCUGGGUUCAAUCCCCAGCACUGCCA
rnacentral:tRNA from 1 species